UGGGCAUCCUGAAGCUGUUCGAGGAC
rnacentral:piRNA from 1 species